GCUUCUAUGGUGUAAGUAAACACGGUACGUUUUCGUUGUAUAGUUAAAAAGGGUUUUUUAGAAGCU
rnacentral:tRNA from 1 species